rnacentral:rRNA from 1 species
ACGGAAGGCAGCAGUGGGGGAUAUUGGGCAAUGGGCGAGAGCCUGACCUAGCAACGCCGCGUGAAGGAAGAAGGCCUUCGGGUUGUAAACUUCUUUUACCAGGGACGAAGGACGUGACGGUACCUGGAGAAAAAGCAACGGCUAACUACGUGCCAGCAGCCGCGGUAAUACGUAGGUUGCAAGCGUUGUCCGGAUUUACUGAGUGUAAAGGGCGUGUAGGCGGAGCUGCAAGUCAGAUGUGAAAUCCCGGGGCUCAACCCCGGAACUGCAUUUGAAACUGUAGCCCUUGAGUAUCGGAGAGGCAAGCGGAAUUCCUAGUGUAGCGGUGAAAUGCGUAGAUAUUAGGAGGAACACCAGUGGCGAAGGCGGCUUGCUGGACGACAACUGACGCUGAGGCGCGUAAGCGUGGGGAGCAAACAGGAUUAGAUACCCUGGUA